rnacentral:lncRNA from 1 species
UUUUUUUUUUUUUUUUUUUUUGUAAAUGAAGAAAAUGGUAGUUGAGAAAGAUGGAAUGAAAAGAGAUACCGGAAGAGUGGCUCUGAUACCACUUUGAUACGCCUUAAAAGGAUCACUCGACCGGAUUUGGAAAAGAUAUGAACUCCAAGAGGAGAUCUGAUGGAAUGAGGGGUCGCACAAAGGUUGCGGAGUGGCCUUUGAUAUUCUCGAACCAGAUUGUUGCCGGAUGUGACUCACCGGUCCAACAAAGAGGCAAUCUUGAA